CAUGGCGCCUGUUUAUCAAAAACAUGGUUUUUUGUAAUUGUAAAAAAUUUGGCCUGCUCACUGCCAUAAGGUAAAUAGCCGCAGUAUAUUGACUGUGCUAAGGUAGCAUAAUCAUUUGUCUUUUAAUUGAAGGCUGGUAUGAAUGGUUAAACGAGAUAAAAUCUGUCUCCAAGGAAGAAGUUGAAAUUGAUUAACUGGUAAAAAGGCCAUUGUAUUUUUGGAGGACGAUAAGACCCUAUUAAGCUUGAUUUUAGAAUUUUGCUGGGGCGGCAGUUUAAGAGUAGAAUCUUAAUAGACAGAGAUAAAAUAUGAUGACCCAGUAAUACUGAGGAUUAGAAAAAGUUACUAUAGGGAUAACAGCUUAAUUUUUUUAAUGAGUUCUUAUUUUAAAAAAAGUUUGUGACCUCGAUGUUGAAUUAAAGGUUCUAUUUGGUGCAGCUGCUAAAUGAGAAGGUCUGUUCGACUUUUAAACCUUUACGUGAUCUGAGUUCAGACCGGCCAUGA
rnacentral:rRNA from 1 species